UGGGGAAUCUUGCACAAUGGGGGCAACCCUGAUGCAGCGACGCCGCGUGAGCGAUGAAGCCCUUCGGGGCGUAAAGCUCUUUCGACCGGAACGAUAAUGACGGUACCGGGAGAAGAAGCUGCGGCUAACUACGUGGCAGCAGCCGCGGUAAUACGUAGGCAGCAAGCGUUGUUCGGAGUUACUGGGCGUAAAGAGUGCGUAGGCGGUUUUCUAAGUUCGGUGUGAAAUCUCCCGGCUUAACUGGGAGGGUGCGCCGAAGACUGGGAAGCUGGAGUGUGGGAAAGGCAGGCGGAAUUCCUGGUGUAGCGGUGAAAUGCGUAGAUAUCAGGAGGAACACCGGCGGUGUAGACGGCUUGCUAGACCAUAACUGACGCUGAGGCACGAAAGCGUGGGUAGCAAACA
rnacentral:rRNA from 1 species